UACGGAGGAUGCGAGCGUUAUCCGGAUUUAUUGGGUUUAAAGGGUGCGCAGGCGGAGGUGCAAGUCAGUGGUCAAAUUGCGGGGCUCAACCCCGUACUGCCGUUGAAACUGCAUCCCUUGAGUGCGCGAAGGGUAGGCGGAAUGCGUGGUGUAGCGGUGAAAUGCAUAGAUAUCACGCAGAACCCCGAUUGCGAAGGCAGCAUACCGGUGCACAACUGACGCUCAGGCACGAAAGCGUGGGUAUCGAACAGG
rnacentral:rRNA from 1 species